AAUAACCUUUCUGGCUUACUCAUCAAAGCAUUUGCAGAUUAUCGAAUGUUGAACAGUUUAGCCGAAUGAACAUGUACAGAUAUCAGUAUGGGAUGAAAAUGGAAGUUAUUAAUCCAAUACCAAAAACUAUAGUAUUUUUCACAACCAUCAAAUAAAACUCUCAAAGAUAGACUUCCACAUAGGAUCUCCAAGAAAAAUCUCAUAGAACAACCAACUAAACAGAGAUAAAAGUGAACAAACAAGUUUUCCAAUUCAUCUAAAUAAGUGCCCAUUCUAAAUGAAGUGCAACCAAAUUCUCUCCAAUUGAAACAAGACAAAUACUAAAUAGUGCUGUGCUCCUUUGGUAAAUUAUGGUUGCCACACCGGCGGAAGCAGCACUUCAAGUAGCUUGAGACUUCUUAGAUUUGCUGGUAGCCAGUUGGGUCUCAGGCUGCAGAACCAAACAAAGAAAAUGAGGGCAUGAAUAAGUGAACUAUGCUUUCUGCUUCUUUUAUAUCAUUAUGCUCUCUGCUUCUUUUAUAUUAUUAUGCUCUCUGCUUCUUUUAUAUUAUUUUGCUGCAUGUAAUAAGCAAGUUACCUCCUUCUUCACUGGUUCUUCCUUCUCAGAUAAAAUCAACUCAAUGUGGCAAGGGCUGGACAUGUAAGCUACAAAUGACAAUAGCUUCAUAUCAAUUAAACAACAAAAUAAAAAAGGCAUAUAAUACAUAAAUAAUUCAAAUCAAACAUACGAUUGAUUCUUCCGUGAGCCCUAUAAGUACGACGCCUCUGCUUCUGUGCCUGAUUCACUUGGAUGUGAGAAAUGAAAAGAUUAUCGACAUCCAAGCCUUUGACCUCAGCAUUACUCUCAGCAUUCUUGAGCAAAUCAAGAAUGAACUUGGCAGAUUUGGCAGGCCACCUUCCUUGCCCAUUUGAGUGCCUGUUCUUUGCCUGAGCAGUACGCCCCACACCACCACAGAAACGUCGGAAAGGUAUAGCUUGUUUGUGAGCCAUAACAUCUUCCAAAUACCUCUUAGCCUUUGCCAAAGGCAAUUUCCUUAAAGCAUGGGCUGUUUCCCUUGUAUUCUAUAAGAAAUAUGAACUAGUUAAUGCCAGUAUUGCCAAAUUGGGAGGGAAAAGGAAUAUAAGCUUAAGCAUCAACUCAUUGACAAAACCACCAAGACAAUAGGAUGACAGAUUUUUCAGUGUCUAAAACAUUAGCAACAAGCACAAAAACAAAUUUAUCAGCAAUAUUCACUCGUAAGCUUAACCUUUGGGGCAGAAUUUGGAAAAGCAUUCUGCCACAGGUUGUCAAUUAAGAGCAAUAAAUAAAAUACUAAAAUAAAACCAACAACAAUAAAAGGAAAGGAAAGCAAGUCUUAUCACAAAAUUCAAUAUCAAUGUGCCACCAUUUACUGAACCUUCAGUCACAAUAAACUACGGAGGUUCACCCAAUAACAAUGACAUUAAAUUUCCCUGAAGCUUACAAGCACCCAGUUCACAAGAGGCAACCAGACCUUGCUGUUUGUAUCAGGUUAGUAGUUUCAACUUUUUCAUUAACUUUCUGAACCAUGACCCCUUGCUGUUGUUUUGCUAUAUGCCAAAUGAUAUUUUGACUUCAUUCAGAAUAACCAACAACAAUAAAAAGAAAA
rnacentral:misc_RNA from 1 species